rnacentral:rRNA from 1 species
AUUGAACGCUGGCGGCAGGCCUAACACAUGCAAGUCGAGCGAGCGGCGGACGGGUGAGUAAUGUAUGGGGAUCUGCCCGACAUAGCGGUAUAACUACUGGAAACGUUGGCUAAUACCGCCUACUAUCGGUUGAACCCACAUGGGAUGAGCGAGUAGGUGGGGUAAAGGCUCACCUAGGCGACGAUCUCUAGCUGGUCUGAGAGGAUGAUCAGCCACACUGGGACUGAGAAACGGCCCAGACUCCUACGGGAGGCAGCAGUGGGGAAUAUUGGACAAUGGGCGAAAGCCUGAUGCAGCAAUGCCACGUGUGUGAAGAAGGCCUUCGGAUUGUAAAGUACUUUCAGUGGGGAGGCGUUACCCGCAGAAGAAGCACCGGCUAACUCCGUGCCAGCAGCCGCGGUAAUAC